rnacentral:pre_miRNA from 1 species
AAUAGUUUUAUGCCACAUCAGUACUCUUAUCCUGAAUUUCAGGAUUUUAUCCUGAAAAAAUCAAAUCCAAAUUAAAAUACUGAAAUUCAGGAUAAGAGUACUGAUGUGGCAUAAAUCUAUU